rnacentral:misc_RNA from 1 species
CGUCGAAGGUGGGGCUGAUGACUGGGGUGAAGUCGUAACAAGGUAUCCGUACCGGAAGGUGCGGAUGGAUCACCUCCUAACAGGGAGACAACACAAUGAUUUUGAUGCCUGAGUGCUUUUAUUCUUAGGCCGAAAUCCUGUCACCUUAGGUCGAUCGGUACCUCAGCUUUGAAGUUAAGGAUCAGCAGCAAUGUUGAUUGCUUGAUGGAGAUUUUCAGUUCCUAAACUUUGUCUAGGUCACACCCCAAAAGGGAUGAGACUCCUGGGCCAUUAGCUCAGGUGGUUAGAGCGCACCCCUGAUAAGGGUGAGGUCCCUGGUUCAAGUCCAGGAUGGCCCAUUCGGUGUUGGGGGUUUAGCUCAGUUGGUAGAGCGCCUGCUUUGCAAGCAGGAUGUCAGGAGUUCGAGUCUCCUAACCUCCACUGACCGAACUUGAUUCCCAUCUCCAAUUUUUUGGAGUUGAGCUCGAUUGGAGUGUGAUUUAGAUGUGUCCGCUGGAUGACCCCAGCUUCCUGUCAUUCCAAGUUUUAGGUUGAUGCCUUGAAUUUGGUUGAUAAGAUGCUGGGCUCGGAUCAAAUGAUCAAGCAAUUGAUGAUUUGAUUUGAAGUUCUAGCAGAACCUUGACAACUGCAUAGGUGAGUCUGGAAAAAACAAAGCAUCUUACAGAUGCAUUGUUUUGAAUCUGAUCUUCUGAAAGGGAGAUUGGAUCUAGAACAAUGAAAAUUCUUUUGAGCAAGAGCCGAGACUCUUGAACGUUCUUUGAUUGGUGUCGAGCCAAUCAGAGUUUGAUCUUUUUUUUAGCAAUAAAAACUUGAGAAUCUGCUUUCAACGGCGGUAAGCGUUCAGGAGGUUAAUUGGUCAAGCUACAAAGGGCUCACGG